rnacentral:rRNA from 1 species
AGAGUUUGAUCCUGGCUCAGAUUGAACGCUGGCGGCAGGCCUAACACAUGCAAGUCGAGCGGAAACGGCAGUAUUGAAGCUUCGGUGGAUUUACUGGACGUCGAGCGGCGGACGGGUGAGUAACGGCUGGGAACCUGCCCUGACGAGGGAGAUAACCGUUGGAAACGACGGCUAAUACCGCAUAAUGUCUACGGACCAAAGGUGGCCUCUACAUGUAAGCUAUCGCGUUGGGAUGGGCCCAGUUAGGAUUAGCUAGUUGGUAAGGUAAUGGCUUACCAAGGCGACGAUCCUUAGCUGGUUUGAGAGGAUGAUCAGCCACACUGGGACUGAGACACGGCCCAGACUCCUACGGGAGGCAGCAGUGGGGAAUAUUGCACAAUGGGGGAGACCCUGAUGCAGCCAUGCCGCGUGUGUGAAGAAGGCCUUCGGGUUGUAAAGCACUUUCAGCAGUGAGGAAGGUGGUGUACUUAAUAAGUGCAUGGCUUGACGUUAGCUGCAGAAGAAGCACCGGCUAACUCCGUGCCAGCAGCCGCGGUAAUACGGAGGGUGCGAGCGUUAAUCGGAAUUACUGGGCGUAAAGCGCAUGCAGGCGGUUUGUUAAGUCAGAUGUGAAAGCCCGGGGCUCAACCUCGGAACCGCAUUUGAAACUGGCAGGCUAGAGUCUUGUAGAGGGGGGUAGAAUUUCAGGUGUAGCGGUGAAAUGCGUAGAGAUCUGAAGGAAUACCAGUGGCGAAGGCGGCCCCCUGGACAAAGACUGACGCUCAGAUGCGAAAGCGUGGGUAGCAAACAGGAUUAGAUACCCUGGUAGUCCACGCCGUAAACGCUGUCUACUUGGAGGUUGAGGUUUAGACUUUGGCUUUCGGCGCUAACGCAUUAAGUAGACCGCCUGGGGAGUACGGCCGCAAGGUUAAAACUCAAAUGAAUUGACGGGGGCCCGCACAAGCGGUGGAGCAUGUGGUUUAAUUCGAUGCAACGCGAAGAACCUUACCUACUCUUGACAUCCAGAGAACUUUCCAGAGAUGGAUUGGUGCCUUCGGGAGCUCUGAGACAGGUGCUGCAUGGCUGUCGUCAGCUCGUGUUGUGAAAUGUUGGGUUAAGUCCCGCAACGAGCGCAACCCUUAUCCUUGUUUGCCAGCACGUAAUGGUGGGAACUCCAGGGAGACUGCCGGUGAUAAACCAGAGGAAGGUGGGGACGACGUCAAGUCAUCAUGGCCCUUACGAGUAGGGCUACACACGUGCUACAAUGGCAGAUACAGAGGGCAGCGAAGCUGCGAAGUGGAGCGAAUCCCUUAAAGUUUGUCGUAGUCCGGAUUGGAGUCUGCAACUCGACUCCAUGAAGUCGGAAUCGCUAGUAAUCGUGGAUCAGAAUGCCACGGUGAAUACGUUCCCGGGCCUUGUACACACCGCCCGUCACACCAUGGGAGUGGGCUGCACCAGAAGUAGAUAGCUUAACCUUCGGGAGGGCGUUUACCACGGUGUGGUUCAUGACUGGGGUGAAGUCGUAACAAGGUAACC